CAUGCUUCGUCCUUUUAGUUCACAGGUCUCUGGAUCAACAGAUGCUGUACCCAAGGAGCUGGACCUGUGGAAUUAUCCCCCAGGAAUUUUGACUGCACCUGGAUUGGAUUUAGUGUAAGAAGAGUAACUGUCAUGAGCCUCAAAUGAGUUCUGCAGUAGAGAAACCAUAUAAUGAAGUAAAGAAAAAAACAAACAACAACAAAAAAAAAACCUUUAUACUGAUCACUACAUGGGCAAAAAAGAAGACAGUUGUAGAGGUAUGAUGGAAUAAAAAAAUUGAUCAGUCAGAUGGCAAAACUGUCAUCUUCAUCAAAAUGCCAA
ensembl:lncRNA novel transcript